GAUUUAUAUAAUUUGGUCACAAAUUAACGAUUUAAUUAAUCACUUAUUAUUUUUUGAUCACAAAUAUGAAAUUUUAUGUUACAAAUUAUUUUACGAUCACAAUUCAAAAAAUUUAUAAGUCACAGUAUGUUCAUCGCUCACAAAUCCAAAAAUGUAUAAGACACGAUUUAUUUAUUGGUCACAAAUCACAAAUAUUACAAGUCACAACUUCUUAUACAGUCACAAAUUAUAAAAUUAUCGGUCACAGAUUAACAGUUUUUUAGGUCACACAUUAUUUUUCGAUCACAAUUUAUUUUUUCAUUGGUCACAGAUUAACCAUUUUAAUAGUCAAAGUCAACCAAAUAAUCUGUUACUACCACCAACACUUAUGAUUCACAGUCAUAAUUUUUAGAUCACGUAUCCAAUUAUGAGUUACAGUCACAAAUCAACCAAACCACCACGACCACCUCCGCGACCUACUGUGACUCAAACCAAAUUCAACAUUGCCACAUUUCACAACCACGAUCGCAUGCUUCAACAACCACCAACCAACUCCACCACCACUACCUCUACCUCCAUCCGCAACUCCAAUCAACCUCCACACAACCACCACCAUCGCCUGCUAGAAAUCCACCAUUUCACACAACACUACCAUACCACAGUCGCUGCCUUAACAACAAACCACCCAAACCCGCAACAAUCACCAAAAAAACAGAAAAAUCCCCAAAUUUCGGUAAAGCAGCAGAUCGAAUAAAUCACCUCACAAAUGUCGUGGCGGCUGCAGUUGCGGCACACAUCCUGGCCGUGCACAACGGCGCAUCUUGUCAGCAGCAUAGAGCGAUAUACUUUGAGCCGUGCGCAACAACUGUCAAAGGCUGCUUCGCGCGACGGUGGCCAUAGAGAAUAGAGGAUGGGGGGGGAGAGAGACGGGAAAAGGGCAUGCCUCUCUUUGCGGUGUAGGUAAGUUGUCAGAGAUCUGCGGGCUGGCGGUAGAGGUAAGACCCCGGAGAGCUAGACACCACCGAUGAAGGAAGUUGCCAGAAUGAAGAAAGAAGACAGAAGUAAAGAGAGAGAAAAAGGGAAAAGUGAUUAGGGUAAUGAUGGUGGUUAAUGUAAAUUAUAUUAAUUUUAUAAUAUUAUUAUUAAUGUUAAAAUUUUUAAUUAUAAUCUGAUUUUUG
rnacentral:lncRNA from 1 species